rnacentral:rRNA from 1 species
UACGGAAGGCAGCAGUGGGGAAUAUUGCACAAUGGGCGAAAGCCUGAUGCAGCUAUGCCGCGUGUAUGAAGAAGGCCUUAGGGUUGUAAAGUACUUUCAUCGGGGAGGAAAAAACAAAACUAAUAAUUUUAUUUCUUGACGUUACCCGAAAAAGAAGCACCGGCUAACUCCGUGCCAGCAGCCGCGGUAAUACGGAGGGUGCUAGCGUUAAUCAGAAUUACUGGGCGUAAAGAGCACGUAGGUGGUUUUUUUAAGUCAGAUGUGAAUCCCUGGGCUUAACCUAGGAACUGCAUUUUGAAACUGAAAUACUAGAGUAUCGUAGAGGGAGGUAGAAUUCUAGGUGUAGCGGUGAAAUGCGUAGAUAUCUGGAGGAAUACCUGUGGCGAAAGCGGCCUCCUAAACGAAUACUGACACUGAGGUGCGAAAGCGUGGGGAGCAAACAGGGAUUAGAUA